UAAGAAUUUAUAAUUUACUGGACUGAGUAUUUAUAAAUUUCACAGAACAUUUUGUUCUCUGAUUUAAAUCCUGCAUACCAAGUGCCUGCCUGGGGCAAAGACAAAAAAAAAAAGUUAGCUUUGAUACUCCAAAACUGGCUGAAUAAAUCCUGUGCAGCUGGCCUGCGUGAAAUGUGCCCAGUGACAGCAAGCAGCAGCAAGGAUUCAGAGGGAUAGGGAGAGCUCUGUGCUGUCAGAUGUUACAGUGUUUUAUUGCUUUGGCUGGGAAGGGCAGGAAUGUGUAGGUAUCUCUACUAUUCAGUAUAGGGGUGCAAAGUGGUUCCCUCAGGCACGUAUGUGGACAAAACUGCUGCACAAAUGUGCAGUGUUGCCUUCUGCAUGUAUUUGUACAUGCUCUGGUGUUUUCCAGCUUUGGAGAUGUGGUUAAAGCCUCAAAGUGAAUGUGUGAGUCUGCAGCAGCUGAGAAUACGUUUCCAGCACUGGAGGUUCUCGUGUGGUUGAGUGUCUGUUCCAACCUUGGUGUGGAAUUGUCUAACCUGUACUGUGGUAUUUGUCAAGGGAAGUUCUUGGAGGCUUACUGAAAUGUUCAGGCCAGCACAGUACAGGUUACACUUGUCUAUACUUGAAGGUGAGAUGUCAGGAACUGUUACAGAUUGGAAACUGGUUUUUCUGCCUGUGCUGUUUCUCUGUUCAUCCAACUGUCUCUCAUCACUUUGUUUCUCUGUGUAAUAUAACCCAACUGAGAUGUGGUCCUGAGGGAAAAGUGGCUUAAAUCUGAAUCCUGGAAAGUCAAGAAUUAAAAGAUGCAUAGUUUAGGAAAAUAAAUUCUGGAAUAUGAAGUUAUGAAGGCUGUGACUGGUUCACAUGAGCAACUUGCAGCAAGGUCAUGUUUUCCUCCGAUAGUGCAUCAACAGGAAUUUGGAAAUCCUGCUCUUACUUGGAUGGUGUGAGCAGAGUGCUUUUGGCCAUGCUCUGUAGGACCAUCUCUGUGAAUCCAGCUCUAUUCUCAGUCUCCAGAGAGCUUCCAGGUUAUCUAGAAAGAAGCACAAGAGUAACUGCAGUGGGACCAGAUUUGCAGAACUGGCUUCUGCAGCUCAGAAUGGCAGGACUCAGAAAAGAAGAAAACAUAGAGGCUUUCAUUAGUUCAGGUUUUUAUCAGAAAUACACUAGGACUUAAAGAGAUAUUUAUAUGUAUUGGAUGGUAAACAAAUUUUCAGCAGAAUGAGGUGAGAAUCAAACUUCCCUUGGAGACAGUUUGGCCAAUAGUUUCUGACAGGGUUUUGGUUUUUAUUUCCUAUGUCAUUUGUAGGGAUCAUACAUUGAAAUCCUGCUCUGUCCUACAGGGACCACUGGCUUGAACAAGUGCAUGACAAUUCUUAGGAUGCUUGUGCUGAAAGACUUCUCUUAAUGGACCCUGAUAGGAUUUAGUUUGAUUUGUUCCAGAAUGGAAUUGCCCUUGUUCCUGCUGCUGCAGGCUCAUAAUCUGGAACCCAGGACUCGAGCAGGACUGAGGGAUGCAUGCAAGUGGUAAGAAGCUGGAUCAUCUUUCUUCAUCUGCUCACUGCCUUCACAGAAAUUGCAAGUAUGACAAAGUAUUUCAUCCCUUUACAGGAUUAGGGAUGCGGAUUUGCCUCUCACCAAAGUGCUGCUGGCUGCCUGCUGGAGGGUGUCUCUAAGACCUGAUUUAACCUGAAGCAUGCACUUCCUCAGGAGGUCUGCAGCAGGGCUGGAGGACUGCAAACACUGCAUCCCUUCCCUCCUGUCACCCGCUUCCACACGACUGCAGUGCCUGUACUGUGUUCUCAGCUCCCUCACUCUGAAAUGUUCCUCAUGAUGGUUUGUACGGAGGUGCCUUGGAGCAGGCUUUAGUUUUGGUGGCAGUCCCCCUUGUUGCCAUGUUAUUCAAGAAGAUGGCUUUAUCCUUGCCUUUAUUCCACUGGGACCAGCUACUCUACCCACAGGCACCAAAAGUGGCAAAUCUUCCCUAACCUAUUUUAAUUUUCAACUGAAACUCUACAUCACAUGAAUUUCUUUGUUUUUUUUGAGAGGUAAAGACUUUUUUUCCCUUUUUUUUUUUUUUUUGAAACCACACCAAAUAAAAACCCAAACACCAAAACCCAACAAAGCCAAAACUGUCAGAAAAAAAAUAAAUCAAAACCCACACAUUGAACCCAAGUUGGAGAAAUAACUGCAUUUUGUGACUGAUACAGUCCAUGGGAGUACAAAGCAUUCACAGUCUGGUCUUGCACAUCCACACCCUAAACCUAUUAAUAGAUUUUAGGCAUGAGCAUAGACAUGGAGACGGGCAGGAGCAGUUUGCCAUGCAAACAUUUAUCUGUGAACCCCAACCUAUUUUCUAGAACUGAAGAUUUUAGUGUGAUAAAGUGGACAUUUUAAAGCCCUGGUGGAGAUAGGGGGGAUGUAACUGCACUUAAACUGAGGGUGGAUUAGGCAUUCUCAUAUCUUGGAGUCUGCCAGUAAAUAGCAAAGUAUAUAAACAAUGGAAGGAAACAUGUCCUUCUUAAUCUGUAAAAAGAAAAGGACAGUUUUGAAAAUCCAUCAGUCUUUCAAAUCAUCUUAAGGCAUAUUGAUUCUGAAUCAUCACAGGGGUGUUCUUGUUAGUGAUCUAAAAAUAUAAAUGUAGUUGAAUACAUGGAAAACUGUAUCUUAUUCCAGUUGCUUGUAUUACUGCAAUAAAUGAUACCAGCUCUCUCUUCCUACAGA